AGCAACGUUCACCUUUACCUUAGAUCCACCUGCAGGAGCUGCCCUAUUGGAGCUGUGGAGACCUGCUCAGGCUGCAGCAAGCUGCUCAUUCAGCAACGGCAAACAUGGAAAAGGACACGAUCGGUGGACAUCAGUAGAUCAGUAGAAAGAUGAUUUGCAGAGUUGACCACAAGAUUCACAUGGACCACAUGAGAGUGUACAGAAUGGACCUCACCCUGAAGGUAUGGACAAGCUUCUCAUCACUCUCUUACUGUCUCAUCAUCGUGUUGACUGGAUGGCAUGCCUGAGGACACGAGACAGCCAGACAUAGGCACUGGCAGACCUGCAGGUUGACUUCUCAGUGGUAUGGCAGGUCUAAGUGUAUCUUAGAGGAUCAUGACCCUCCCAGACUGUGACCUGGAAAAACAGGACAGAGGAGCUGCAACAGGACAUGGAAUGUGUCUUUUGUUUUCUUUCACUUUUUUGUUGAAAAAAGUGGGAAAUGUUCUCUGCACUUGCCAGAGCAAAAGAAAACAAUUUCUUGGCAAUGAAUGAGGUAGGGUUUACAUAGCAAACAUUAUGUGACUGUAACACAAAUUAUAAAAGCUCAGGCAGCGCUCUGUGUUGUAACUGAGGAUGCAUUAUUCUUUCUCUUUGUGAUUGUCGUCUUCUAAGCCACUGAAAAUGUGAUUUAUUUUAAGAGCAGCACUUUUUCUUUGUGAACAUAUUUUUGGUGUUAGCACAGCCACUUGUCUGCGUUAUCUAUACAUACCACAUUAUAUAUGUUCGCUAUGCUCUGGUACCAUGUGGAACCAAUUGUUUCUUAAUAAAAAAACCCCAAUGUGAAUGAU